CCUACGGGAGGCAGCAGUGGGGAAUUUUGGACAAUGGGGGCAACCCUGAUCCAGCCAUUCCGCGUGAGUGAAGAAGGCCUUCGGGUUGUAAAGCUCUUUCGCAAGAGAAGAAAACUUGCUAUCUAAUAAAUAGUAAGUAUGACGGUAUCUUGACAAGAAGCACCGGCUAACUACGUGCCAGCAGCCGCGGUAAUACGUAGGGUGCAAGCGUUAAUCGGAAUUACUGGGCGUAAAGCGUGCGCAGGCAGUUUUAUAAGUCAGAUGUGAAAUCCCCGAGCUCAACUUGGGAACUGCGUUUGAAACUAUAAGACUAGAGUGUGUCAGAGGGGGGUAGAAUUCCAAGUGUAGCAGUGAAAUGCGUAGAGAUUUGGAGGAAUACCAAUGGCGAAGGCAGCCCCCUGGGAUAACACUGACGCUCAUGCACGAAAGCGUGGGGAGCAAACAGGAUUAGAUACCCUGGUAGUCCACGCCCUAAACGAUGUCUACUAGUUGUUGGUGGAGUAAAAUCCAUGAGUAACGCAGCUAACGCGUGAAGUAGACCGCCUGGGGAGUACGGUCGCAAGAUUAAAACUCAAAGGAAUUGACGG
rnacentral:rRNA from 1 species